rnacentral:rRNA from 1 species
AGAAAUCUCACCAGGCCCGGACACUGGAAGGAUUGACAGAUUGAUAGCUCUUCCUUGAUUCGGUGGGUGGUGGUGCAUGGCCGUUCUUAGUUGGUUGAGUGAUUUGUCUUGUUAAUUCCGAUAACGAACGAGACCUUAACCUGCUAAAUAGUGACGCGGUUCAUCGAACCGUGGGCCACUUCUUAGAGGGACUAUCGGAUUCAAACCGAUGGAAGUGUGAGGCAAUAA